rnacentral:lncRNA from 8 species
UGUGAUUACAUUUUUUAUUUAAAUGUGAUUACAUUUAACCUUUAUUUAACUAGGCAAGUCAUACCCAUGAAGACUCAAGGCUGUAAUUGCUGCCAAAGGUGCUCCAACAAAGUACUGAGUAAAGGGUCUGAAUACUUAUCUAAAUGUGAUAUCUGUUUUUUAUUUAUAAUAAAUACAUUUCUAAAAACCUGAUUUUGCUUUGUCAUUAUGGGGUAUAGUGUGUAGUAGAUCGAUGAGGGGGGAAAACGAUUUAAUCAAUUUUAGAAUAAGGCUGUAACCUAACAAAAUGUGGAAAAAGUAAAGGGGUCUGAAUACUUUCCGAAGGCACAGUAUAUAUGAAAUAUAUGAAUAUAAGUUCUGACCGGUUGGGGCAAGGUAGCCAUAAACCUCCACUUCACAGAGUGUCAGAAGUCUUUUCUCUCCUGGUAGAACCACAGUCACAUAACGUCCUAUGAAGCCUGGGUCAAAGGCCAAGUUAGUAGUACUGUCGGCUUGAAGAGAGGCAAUUGUGUCAGCACUGGAGACAGAAAUGGGUUUUUACUGACCUCUGUCAAGAUACUGCAUCACAUGCUAUUUAACUUUUUUUUAACUAAAUUAACAACGUACAUAUGCUGAUAUCUACAACUGGUCUGGUGGUAACCUGUGAGUGGGGUUAAGCUUUUCACUAGCAUUGCUUGAUUCUCUGUCCGGCCUGCAUGGGUUUUUUUAUGCACAGAAUGUAUACUGUUCUCACUAAUUUAACUUUACAAGUAUAUAAAUAGUAGCAACACAUUGUACAUCUUUUUGUUUUUACAUCUUGUCUCACAGAGGAUUUGGAAUGCAAUCGUCUACAGAAUUACCAAUGCGGAUCUCCAUCCCCGUUGAUCCUCUCAGGAACAGCAUCCCCUCUGUUGGUGACGGUGAUGGAGGUGACUAUGCCUUUUCCUGUCAAUAUGAGGGGCAUCAUAUGGAUAACAACAAGAGGAAGUGUUUACUUGGAACAAUGGCACCAGUAGGCGUUCCUAGAAGAGCCAGCAAGAGGAAGAACAUGGCCUGUCUCAUCAUCCUGGAGGGGAGGCAGAGAAAGUCAGUAGAGAGUUUAUGGUAGGAAGAGUGCAGCCACAGUAUACAGACAGCACUCAAUUCCAUCAAAACAACACAAGGUUGUAAUAAGUAAAACAGCGUUGUGUCAUAAGAUUUCAUAAAGGUGUUAUGUACAAAUGGGCUUUUCUGAUUCAGAAAAACAGGAGAAUGUGCAAUGUUUACUGUGUGAAAAAAAAUCACAAAAAUAAAUUAUUACACGUAUAGUAUUUGGCAGCAAAGGAUGCAUUAUCACUAUGGUUGUGGUGAG